rnacentral:rRNA from 1 species
GACGAACGCUGGCGGCGUGCCUAACACAUGCAAGUCGAACGGAACUGUUUUGAAAGAUUUCUUCGGAAUGAAUUUGAUUUAGUUUAGUGGCGGACGGGUGAGUAACGCAUGAGUAACCUGCCUUCAAGAGGGGAAUAACAUUCUGAAAAGAAUGCUAAUACCGCAUGACAUAUCGGAACCACAUGGUUUUGAUAUCAAAGAUUUUAUCGCUUGAAGAUGGACUCGCGUCCGAUUAGUUAGUUGGUGAGGUAACGGCUCACCAAGGCCGCGAUCGGUAGCCGGUGUGAGAGGAUGAUAAGGCACAAGGGGAAUGAGACACGGCCCAGACUCCGACGGGAGGCAGCAGGGGGGAAUAUUGGAAAAUGGGCGAAAGCCUGAUCAAGAAAUGCCGCGUGAGAGAUGAAGGCCUUAGGGUUGUAAAGCUCUUUGACACGGGAGGAGAAGGACAGGAGCGGGAGAAUAAGCUCCGGCUAACGCCGUG